rnacentral:misc_RNA from 1 species
GAUGAAGAACGUAGCGAAAUGCGAUAAGUAAUGUGAAUUGCAGAAUUCAGUGAAUCUUCGAAUCUUUGAACGCACAUUGCGCCCCCUGGAAUUCCGGGGGGCAUGCCUGUUCGAGCGUCUCAGGGACGAACCCUCGCGCGGGUGUACGCGCGGUCGUGGCUGCGGUGGCGUGCCCGAGGCGGCGGCCACCGCGCUGGAAUCCAUGGGCGGACGCCUGCCGCGUGGCCGAGCGUGAUAUGACGCAUUGGCGCUCGCACGCGGAGAGGCUGCCAGCCCUGGCCCGUCUGUCGGGCGGGGGAGAGCAAGACACGUGAACUCCUCGAAUCAGGUAGGGAUACCCGCUGAACUUAAGCAUAUCAAUAAGCGGAGGA